AGACAAUAGAUACCCAGGUAGUCCACGCCGUAAACGAUGAAUGUUAGCCGUCGGGCAGUUUACUGUUCGGUGGCGCAGCUAAACGCAUUAAACAUUCCGCCUGGGGAGUACGGUCGCAAGAUUAAAACUCAAAGGAAUUGACGGGGGCCCGGCACAAGCGGUGGAGCAUGUGGUUUAAAUUCGAAGCAACGCGCAGAACCUUACCAGCCCUUGACAUCCCGAUCGCGGAUUACGGAGACGUUUUCCUUCAGUUCGGCUGGAUCGGAGACAGGUGCUGCAUGGCUGUCGUCAGCUCGUGUCGUGAGAUGUUGGGUUAAGUCCCGCAACGAGCGCAACCCUCGCCCUUAGUUGCCAGCAUUUAGUUGGGCACUCUAAGGGGACUGCCGGUGAUAAGCCGAGAGGAAGGUGGGGAUGACGUCAAGUCCUCAUGGCCCUUACGGGCUGGGCUACACACGUGCUACAAUGGUGGUGACAGUGGGCAGCGAGACCGCGAGG
rnacentral:rRNA from 1 species